rnacentral:rRNA from 1 species
UACGGGGGGGGCAAGCGUUGUUCGGAAUUACUGGGCGUAAAGGGCUCGUAGGUGGCCAACUAAGUCAGACGUGAAAUCCCUCGGCUUAACCGGGGAACUGCGUCUGAUACUGGAUGGCUUGAGUUUGGGAGAGGGACGCGGAAUUCCAGGUGUAGCGGUGAAAUGCGUAGAGAUCCCCAAGAACACCAGUUGCGAAGGCGGCUGACUGGACACAUAUUGACGCUGAGGCUCGAAAGCAUGGGGAGCAAACAGG